rnacentral:rRNA from 1 species
UACGAAGGCAGCAGUGGGGAAUAUUGCACAAUGGGCGCAAGCCUGAUGCAGCCAUGCCGCGUGUAUGAAGAAGGCCUUCGGGUUGUAAAGUACUUUCAGUCGUGAGGAAGGUGUUAAGGUUAAUAACCUUAGCAAUUGACGUUAGCGACAGAAGAAGCACCGGCUAACUCCGUGCCAGCAGCCGCGGUAAUACGGAGGGUGCGAGCGUUAAUCGGAAUUACUGGGCGUAAAGGGCACGCAGGCGGUUAAUUAAGUUGGAUGUGAAAUCCCCGGGCUUAACCUGGGAAUGGCAUUCAAGACUGGUUAGCUAGAGUCUUGUAGAGGGGGUAGAAUUCCAUGUGUAGCGGUGAAAUGCGUAGAGAUGUGGAGGAAUACCGGUGGCGAAGGCGGCCCCUGGGACAAAGACUGACGCUCAUGUGCGAAAGCGUGGGGAGCAAACAGGAUUAGAUACC